GUGAGCCAAGUGGAAAGAGUCCCCCAGGCAGCGGGAAUGGCCAGUGCAAAGGUCCUGAGGUGAAAUGAUCCAGGCUGGCAACGUGGUGAUCCAGUUCAGAAAAUGGACUCCGGAGACAAACUGCCUAGGUUCAAUCCAGACUCUGACACUUAGUAGCUGUGUGAUCUUGGCAUCACUCACCUGGGCCCUGAAGCAUUUGAAUUUGAG